GUAGGGAAUAUUGGGCAAUGGAGGCAACUCUGACCCAGCCAUGCCGCGUGCAGGAUGACGGCCCUCUGGGUUGUAAACUGCUUUUAUACGGGAAGAAAAAAUACUACGUGUAGUAUACUGACGGUACCGUAAGAAUAAGGAUCGGCUAACUCCGUGCCAGCAGCCGCGGUAAUACGGAGGAUCCAAGCGUUGUCCGGAUUUAUUGGGUUUAAAGGGUGCGUAGGCGGAUCUUUAAGUCAGUGGUGAAAGCCUGCAGCUUAACUGUAGAAUUGCCAUUGAAACUGAUGGUCUUGAAUUAAGUGGGCGUUGGCGGAAUAUGACAUGUAGCGGUGAAAUGCAUAGAUAUGUCAUGGAACACCUAAAGCGAAGGCAGCUAACGAUACUUAUAUUGACGCUCAUGGACGAAAGCGUGGGUAGCGAACAGGAUUAGAUACCCCGGUAGUCC
rnacentral:rRNA from 1 species